GCAGUCGAACGGUGAAAGAGAGCUUGCUCUCUGGAUCAGUGGCGAACGGGUGAGUAACACGUGAGCAAUCUGCCCCUGACUCUGGGAUAACAGUUGGAAACAGCUGCUAAUACCGGAUACGAGCUUCGAAGGCAUCUUCAGAAGCUGGAAAGAACUUCGGUCAGGGAUGAGCUCGCGGCCUAUCAGCUAGUUGGUGAGGUAAUGGCUCACCAAGGCGUCGACGGGUAGCCGGCCUGAGAGGGUGACCGGCCACACUGGGACUGAGACACGGCCCAGACUCCUACGGGAGGCAGCAGUGGGGAAUAUUGCACAAUGGGCGCAAGCCUGAUGCAGCAACGCCGCGUGAGGGACGACGGCCUUCGGGUUGUAAACCUCUUUUAGCAGGGAAGAAGCGAAAGUGACGGUACCUGCAGAAAAAGCGCCGGCUAACUACGUGCCAGCAGCCGCGGUAAUACGUAGGGCGCAAGCGUUAUCCGGAAUUAUUGGGCGUAAAGAGCUCGUAGGCGGUUUGUCGCGUCUGCUGUGAAAACUGGAGGCUCAACCUCCAGCCUGCAGUGGGUACGGGCAGACUAGAGUGCGGUAGGGGAGAUUGGAAUUCCUGGUGUAGCGGUGGAAUGCGCAGAUAUCAGGAGGAACACCGAUGGCGAAGGCAGAUCUCUGGGCCGUAACUGACGCUGAGGAGCGAAAGGGUGGGGAGCAAACAGGCUUAGAUACCCUGGUAGUCCACCCCGUAAACGUUGGGAACUAGUUGUGGGGUCCAUUCCACGGAUUCCGUGACGCAGCUAACGCAUUAAGUUCCCCGCCUGGGGAGUACGGCCGCAGG
rnacentral:rRNA from 1 species